rnacentral:rRNA from 1 species
CCUACGGGGAGCUGCAGUGAGGAAUAUUGGUCAAUGGACGAGAGUCUGAACCAGCCAAGUAGCGUGAAGGAUGACUGCCCUAUGGGUUGUAAACUUCUUUUAUAUGGGAAUAAAAUGUUCCACGUGUGGGAUUUUGUAUGUACCAUAUGAAUAAGGAUCGGCUAACUCCGUGCCAGCAGCCGCGGUAAUACGGAGGAUCCGAGCGUUAUCCGGAUUUAUUGGGUUUAAAGGGAGCGUAGGUGGAUUGUUAAGUCAGUUGUGAAAGUUUGCGGCCCAACCGUAAAAUUGCAGUUGAAACUGGCAGUCUUGAGUACAGUAGAGGUGGGCGGAAUUCGUGGUGUAGCGGUGAAAUGCUUAGAUAUCACGAAGAACUCCGAUUGCGAAGGCAGUUCACUGGACUGCAACUGACACUGAGGCUCGAAAGUGUGGGUAUCAAACAGGAUUAGAUACCCCUGUAGUC